AAGAACUUCUCUUGAAAUGUGAUAUCACCAUUGAAAGCUGGAAGCUAUUUCUCAAGAUGAAAAUCUCCUUCUAUAUUUCCUUCCUUUUACUUGCUAUUUCCAUUGGUUUUGGAAGCCGAAUUAUAACAGAGGCAAGAGAUUGUCUAAUUCCACAAUUUGCAACUAGCUGUGCAAAUAAUGGGAUGCAAUGUGAGGCAGAAUGCAAGAGCCUUUAUGGAACCCUUGCAAGAGCAUAUUGUGAAACACAAAAAUGCUAUUGUCGUAUAAAAUGUUAGUAAUAAUAUGUAACAGCUACAUUGUUCACCUUUUGAAUUGGUAAAAAUAAUGGUGAGUUAUAUAGCGGUAGCCGUGAUCAAUUAUAUUA